rnacentral:rRNA from 1 species
UACGAAGGUGGCUAGCGUUGCUCGGAAUUACUGGGCGUAAAGGGCGCGUAGGCGGUUCGUUAAGUUGGGGGUGAAAGCCCAGGGCUCAACCCUGGAAUUGCCUUCAAUACUGGCGACCUUGAGUAUGGCAGAGGUGUGUGGAACUCCGAGUGUAGAGGUGAAAUUCGUAGAUAUUCGGAAGAACACCAGUGGCGAAGGCGACACACUGGGCAAUUACUGACGCUGAGGCGCGAAAGCGUGGGGAGCAAACAGG